GAUGAACGCUGGCGGCGUGCCUAAUACAUGCAAGUCGAGCGAACAGACGAGGAGCUUGCUCCUUUGACGUUAGCGGCGGACGGGUGGGUAACACGUGGGUAACCUACCUAUAAGACUGGGAUAACUUCGGGAAACCGGAGCUAAUACCGGAUAAUAUUUCGAACCGCAUGGUUCGAUAGUGAAAGAUGGCUUUGCUAUCACUUAUAGAUGGACCUGCGCCGUAUUAGCUAGUUGGUAAGGUAACGGCUUACCAAGGCAACGAUACGUAGCCGACCUGAGAGGGUGAUCGGCCACACUGGAACUGAGACACGGUCCAGACUCCUACGGGAGGCAGCAGUAGGGAAUCUUCCGCAAUGGGCGAAAGCCUGACGGAGCAACGCCGCGUGAGUGAUGAAGGUCUUCGGAUCGUAAAACUCUGUUAUUAGGGAAGAACAAACGUGUAAGUAACUGUGCACGUCUUGACGGUACCUAAUCAGAAAGCCACGGCUAACUACGUG
rnacentral:rRNA from 1 species